AUAGAGUAUAGGGGAAUUUAACGUGCCAUCUCCGAUGCAAAAGCGAAGCCAAAGCAUCAUUCCACGUCCUCCAAUUCUUCCAAUUCUUACAAAGAGAACAAAAAUUAACCAACUACAUAACUAUGUAUACAGUUAAAAAAAGAAAACAGGAUAUAAUGUAUAUAAAUGUAAUAUAAGCAUCUGUAAUUAUGCCUGGUGAAAAAUUAAUAAAUGCGGUACAAAGUACCUUUUCGUUAUACGGACUUGUACUUUCAAGGAAACUUAGCAUUUCACUUGCUAAGGAACUUCUAAAUGUAGAAGAAAAUGAACGUGAAAUGUGGCUAAUGCAAGUAAUAGAGCAAGUUUUAGCUCAAAAUUUAAGUGAUACACAGAUAACCAUUGAAAAUUUGAAGCUAGCAAUAGAAGAAUGUAUAAAACCCAAUGCGUUAAAGGAUACAGAAACAGUACUAAAUGUUAUAGAUGUAUUUGAUAUACCUAGAAUCAAAUAUGAGUUGUCUGAGAACAAAUUUGUUUUGGAAACUGUAACACCAAAUUUGGUUGCCGAAGCACAAUAUAAAUCCAUACUUUUUAAAGAUAGAUUUGAGUUGCUUUGGUACAGAACUAUGAGACAUGAAUUAUUUACUCCUCCAAUGCCUGGUGAAAGAAAAAAAGAUUGGAUUGAAUUAGUACCAAUUGAACAUCUGUUGAGUGGAAGUAAAGAAGGAAAUGUUUAUGUUAUGGGUCUUCUCUCUCAAUUAGUAGAGGGUGAAUAUUAUUUGGAAGACACAGGAGGUACAAUAAAAGUUGAUUUACAAAAAGCAAGAUUUCAGGAUGGUUUGAUCAUGGAAUGCUCUAUAGUAAUAGCUAAUGGAGAUUUCAAGGAUGGUAUUUUACAUGUGAAAAAUUUAGGUUUUCCACCAGCAGAAUCAUCUAGUAAUGCACGUGUAGAUUUCGGCAAUGCUAAUACAUUUGGUGGUUUGAGCAAGUUUUCUUUGAAACUUUCUGAAAAACUAAAAACUUAUGAAGAAAGUAACAAAGAUGGAAUGAUUGUUUUUGUAUCCGAAAUGUGGUUAGAUGAUAAAAUUGUUUUACGCAAAUUUAAAAUUAUGUUGGAAGGAUAUUCUGAAUAUCCACCUAUAGCUUUUGUAUUAUGUGGACAUUUUUUAAGUUUUCCUGCAAAACCAUCAAGCAGGCAAAAAUUGAUAGAGGGAUUAAAAAAUCUUGCUGAUAUAAUAAUACAAUAUCCAGAUAUAAACCAAACUUCCAAAUUUAUUUUUGUACCUGCAAUAGAUGAUAUUGGAUCACCAAAAAUUUUGCCAAAAUUGCCACUGCCCAAAAAUCUUACAGAAGAUUUUAGGAAAAAUAUACCUGGAGCAAUAUUUGCUACUAAUCCAUGUAGAAUUCAGUAUUGUACGAAAGAAAUUGUGGUACUAAGGGGAGAUAUUUUAACGAAAAUGUGUAGGAAUACUCUUUACUUUCCAUUUCAAGGCAAUAUCCACGAUCAUUAUGCAAAAUCAAUUAUCUCUCAAUCUCAUCUGACUCCUCUAAGUCUUCCAAUGUUACCUAUAUAUUGGAAAUACAAUCAUGCAUUACAAAUAUAUCCUACUCCAGAUCUCAUUGUAACUGCAGAUGGAUUUGAAGCAUAUGAAACUACCUAUUCUAAUUGUCAUAUAAUCAAUCCAGGAUCAUUUUCAAAAAACGACCAUUCCUUCAAAGUAUACGUUCCAGCGCUAAAUUUAGUUGAACAUUGUGCUAUUCCCAAAGAUAUGGAUGGUGUUUAACAACAAAUUAUUAUUGACGUUUGAAAUAAAGUACAGACUGGGCCGCGGCAUAUCUCAAUUCACUGCGCUGGAAGCAUAAGUCAAUUACUGGCCGUUUAAUUAAACAUUAUAAGGAUCAUAACUUUGUAAAACAACGUAUAACGUAUGAGAUGCAAUAAUAAAACGCGAUAGUAUGAUCUGCAAAUAUUACAAUUUCGUAUUAAUAACGAGCUGAACUGCUAUCAAUAAUACCAGCUGUACAGUUAAAGGGAACAUACGUCAACGUAAACAUUGCUCAAUACGAGAUUCUCGUGCAUAUGCGAGACGGAAGCGUUACAUGGGGCAACUCACGUAGGCCCUGGAUGCCCUUCGUGCUCUAUUCAACUCUAUCGCCUACCCUUUCUCAGAGUGUCCUCACUUUUAACAUUCAAACACGCAUAGUCGCACGUGCAGGUUGAAGUAAUAAGGAAAGUACAUGUGAGAACGAGUCAUCAUGCUGUUAUUGUUAUAAUUUAUUGUAAAUUAUUAUACGAUUCUAGUUAUUAUAUGAUCAUUACAAUUUAUUAUAAUACAAGAAUAGAAAUAUAUACAUACAUUAAUAUAAACAAAUCGUU